GACGAACGCUGGCGGCGUGCUUAACACAUGCAAGUCGAACGGAAAGGCCCUGCUUUUGUGGGGUGCUCGAGUGGCGAACGGGUGAGUAACACGUGAGUAACCUGCCCUUGACUUUGGGAUAACUUCAGGAAACUGGGGCUAAUACCGGAUAGGAGCUCCUGCUGCAUGGUGGGGGUUGGAAAGUUUCGGCGGUUGGGGAUGGACUCGCGGCUUAUCAGCUUGUUGGUGGGGUAGUGGCUUACCAAGGCUUUGACGGGUAGCCCGCCUGAGAGGGUGACCGGCCACAUUGGUACUGAGGUACGGCCCAGACUCCUACGGGAGGCAACAGUGGGGAAUAUUGCACAAUGGGCGGAAGCCUGAUGCAGCAACGCCGCGUGCGGGAUGACGGCCUUCGGGUUGUAAACCGCUUUCGCCUGUGACGAAGCGUGAGUGACGGUAAUGGGUAAAGAAGCACCGGCUAACUACGUG
rnacentral:rRNA from 1 species